rnacentral:rRNA from 1 species
GAUGAACGCUGGCGGCGUGCCUAAUACAUGCAAGUCGAGCGAACAGACGAGGAGCUUGCUCCUCUGACGUUAGCGGCGGACGGGUGAGUAACACGUGGAUAACCUACCUAUAAGACUGGGAUAACUUCGGGAAACCGGAGCUAAUACCGGAUAAUAUAUUGAACCGCAUGGUUCAAUAGUGAAAGACGGUUUUGCUGUCACUUAUAGAUGGAUCCGCGCCGCAUUAGCUAGUUGGUAAGGUAACGGCUUACCAAGGCAACGAUGCGUAGCCGACCUGAGAGGGUGAUCGGCCACACUGGAACUGAGACACGGUCCAGACUCCUACGGGAGGCAGCAGUAGGGAAUCUUCCGCAAUGGGCGAAAACCUGACGGAGCAACGCCGCGUGAGUGAUGAAGGUCUUCGGAUCGUAAAACUCUGUUAUUAGGGAAGAACAAAUGUGUAAGUAACUAUGCACGUCUUGACGGUACCUAAUCAGAAAGCCACGGCUAACUACGU